CACGGGGGAGAGCAAGCGUUGUUCGGAAUCACUGGGCGUAAAGGGCGUGUAGGCGGUCAGGUAAGUGGGAUGUGAAAGCCCUCGGCUCACCCGAGGAUCUGCAUCUCAAACUGCCUGGCUUGAGUAUGGGAGAGGAUGAGGGAAUUCCUGGUGUAGCGGUGAAAUGCGUAGAUAUCUGGAGGAAUACCGGUGGCGAAGGCGGCAUCCUGGACCGACAUUGACGCUGAUGAGCGAAAGCUAGGGGAGCAAACGGG
rnacentral:rRNA from 1 species